rnacentral:rRNA from 1 species
UACGUAGGGUGCGAGCGUUGUCCGGAAUUACUGGGCGUAAAGAGCUCGUAGGUGGUUUGUCGCGUUGUUCGUGAAAUCUCACGGCUUAACUGUGAGCGUGCGGGCGAUACGGGCAGACUGGAGUACUGCAGGGGAGACUGGAAUUCCAGGUGUAGCGGUGAAAUGCGUAGAUAUCUGGAGGAACACCGGUGGCGAAGGCGGCAUCCUGGACCGACACUGACGCUGAGGAGCGAAAGCCAGGGGAGCAAACGGG